rnacentral:lncRNA from 1 species
ACCGCUCAAAACUCUCCCCUGAUCUUUUCAUCGUGUGUGACUGUAGAGGCACUAUCUCUUCACCAGUGCCUAGCCAUAGUGCUGCUAGAGCUCGUCAGCGCACUCUGCUCCCCUGGCGCUGCUCUAGGUUCAGUCGGCGUCUUCCUCACGUUGCUGGUCGGCAGAGCUCGCCUGGCUUCAACCUCCGCCCUGCCCUGCUUGACCCCACUCGCCCAUCCCUGUUCCCGACGCCCGAGCUCACCUCAGCUCCGUUGUGCCCCUGUGUUCAGCCUCCUUCCUCCAUCAGCGGACGUGCUCGGUCUCAGCCGCGCCCCUGCACCCACCCUUGCCGGUGACGGCUGCUGCGAGCGCCCCUUCAUUCUCCCCAGCCUCGCUGUGGCCAGCAACUUCAAAUCCAUGGGUGAGCCAGCCUCUUCACCUUGCCGCGCGCUGGGAGCCUCUCUCUGCUCGACCCGGUGUGGUGCUCUGGCCGUGCGUCCACUCCACUACGACGUCGAGCCUCCCUGCUGCCCGCAACUAUCACAUUAGCCAUCGUGGCGUCAUUAUUUCCUGCUGCGCCGCGACAUCGUCAAGCUCCGGUGCUUAGCGUCGAAGUCGCUGCGCCCUUGUCGCUCUGGCUUCCUUUGUCUUCACGUGGUGUGUGGCGGUCGUGUCCAAAUCCAUGGCAUCAAUGUCUGCAUCCCUAGCAUCGUCGUCAUUUCAGCAGCUUGUUGCACCUUGCGUUCACGCCGGAAGAUGAAAGGAAAGCGCCAGUGCAACGCUCGUCAAGUAUAAAUGCGUCGUCGAUUUCGUGGUUUCAAAUUGGAUUUAGCUUUGGUAAGCUAAUUUAUUAUUUUUGUUAGCCGGUUUGAUGAAUGGCUUGGCUAGGUGUAUUAGUCGUGAUGAUCUUGUGACUAUAUUUAGUGUUGUUCAACCACAUCGUUUCAUGCAGUGAGGUGAUUGUGAGGUGGUCGCGUUAGGUGUUGAAGUCUAGAUUUUAAAUAUAGAUUUACGCAAAGAAUAUUAGUAGAUAUAUAUGCGAUAUGAUUGUGUUAACGUUUGUGACAUAUUUGCGUCGUAUGAAAUAUAGGUUUAAGAUUCCAUCUAUGGAAAGAGUGCUUCAUUGGGUAUAUAUAUAAGCCACGUAUAUUUAACUAGGUUUUAUAUGCGUGAUAAGUGGUGAUAUUAAGUAUUUGUGAAAUACUUUGUUCAUGUAGUAAUGUGAUAGAAUCCAAUAUUGUUAAAUCGAUGCCUCGUGUCAUGUGUCCAGUAUACUGCUUCCUUGAUGCUUGCGCAAAGCUUUGUUGGUUAAGAAAUUAAUUAACUUGUUGCCAUCCUUAUCCUGAUUAUUUGGUGUCUGAAGUUAGUAAGUCGAGAUAUUAUAAUUAGUUGGUAGGAUAGGCAAGCGAGUCUGGAAAAGAAGUUUAGACACUUAAUUAAAUUGAUUCUAUCCAUCAUAUGAAUGUUUGGUGUCCAAAAAUGGCGAGUCUACAUUUGUUAGCCCUUUGGUGUAUACUCUAGGCGGUAAAGAAAAUAUAGAGAUCAUACAUAGUUGUGGUUUCUUGUUUGAAUUAGGUUCAGUUGAGCAAGAAGAAUGUGAGUGUUGUACUUAGUAUGUCUAGUUUAUUAUUCCUUGAUAUUUGUGUUAGAUCCGGGUUAAGCUCGAGGAACGUGAUUGUUAUCCUUAGUAAGUUAUAGAAUCCUAGUGUUUACUUGUGAUUAUUUCAAUGUCAUGGCAUUAGGUGUUUAACUUGUUACUGUGUGUAAUUGUUUAGUCUUUUCUUAUUUAGUCUUUUCUUAUUCAUCCUUAUAUCCAUUCAGUUGCACCAUGCAUCUCAUUAGGUACGCUAGCUGAGAAUCGUACGAAGCAAAGGACAUGGACCAAAGCAGACCACAAGACGAUGUCGGCCGGUGAAUUGGAAAAAAUGGACAGACUGAACGAGUGCCAAGACAAAGGAUGAUCGUCAAGUGAUCGUCAUCUAACAAACACUAACCUAGUGUUAUUCUAGACAAGCCCCGGUGCAUUCACCUCUUUCCUUAUUGUUUACAAUAUUUUAUCACCUUGAAUGAUGCAUUAGGUGAUAGGAGUUGUGUGAUCAAACAGUUGAUGCAUUUCCUUCCUUAAUUAAACAACCCUAAUAACUGUUUUAUGAAAAUUUAGUGAUGCUUAGCCCUGCUUAUUAAUUUAGGAUUGUUUUUAAAAGAUGAUGUGUAACACGGGAUAUGAGAGUUUGUGAAAUAAAAGGGCUUGUGAUGAUGAAGCCAUUGCGGCCGCGAUGAUUUCAUCAUUCAAUUAGGGUACCUCUCUCAGGUAUCAAGUUUUGGGAAAUAAUAUGAAAUGUAGACCAGACGUUGAGCAGGAAAGUUCACCCGUCUGUGUCGAUUAAAUACCGUUCAAUGUAAGCCUGUUGUGGUGGAGACUUUGCAACUAGCCACAUGCUCCGGUAAGCUUGAACUCUGCUAUUUCAAACGUGAAAAGACAACCGCGCACUAGGCGUGAGAGAUGGUGGGAGUAGCGUGUACCCCUUGGCAAGAGGCUGGAUGGCGGAGUAUUGUGCUCCCGGGUAGCGCGGGCCGGUUCACGUUUGUCACACUCGGAAUUAAGGGACAAAGCCGGGUGCAACUCAUAUAUGCACCAAGGAAGACAACACAUAUAAUAAUAGAGUAUAUAGAGAUAAAUGUCACAAUAUAAUCAGAGUACUUAUUACAUAGCGGAAGUCUUACAAAAUAAAAGAUAAGUAUAAAACGAACUAAAGUCCAUCCUUGGCGCCAUAGAGUCAACUGGGAGACGGCACCUAGAUAAAGUCAAACUCCUCGUUGUCUGGCUCCUCUUGAACCUCCUGUUCUUCUCCUGUGGGGGGUGUGAGACAGCAAGGGUGAGC